rnacentral:rRNA from 1 species
UACGGAGGGCGCGAGCGUUAAUCGGAAUUACUGGGCGUAAAGCGCGCGUAGGCUGUUGAGUAAGUUGGGGGUGAAAUCCCACGGCUCAACCGUGGAACAGCCCUUGAUACUGCGCGACUUGAAUCCGGGAGAGGGUGGCGGAAUUCCAGGUGUAGGAGUGAAAUCCGUAGAUAUCUGGAGGAACAUCAGUGGCGAAGGCGGCCACCUGGACCGGUAUUGACGCUGAGGCGCGAAAGCGUGGGGAGCAAACAGG